UGGCCUAGAAGGGCACAUCAAAAAAAUUUCGUCAAAUUUAUAUUUAGGGGUUAUUUUGGGCAUUCGUUCCAAAAGCUGCCAUUAAGGGGGCAGACCUGAGAAAAUCAUAAAAAAAUUCAUUUUUUUUUAAAUGCCUGAAUAAAUUCUUUGAUCCUUUCUCUUUCUAUUGCCGCUAAGCGAAUGUUGAAAUUCGAAAAAUUGCGCUCAGGAGAGCCCAAAGAGUGCUCAGGGUGGCCGGGUGGCUGGACCGCUAAGGCUUGCCUGGCCGCUCAGGACAGGAUACACGACGAGGAAGGAGUCCUCAAGAGCCCCGGAAUCUUUUAGGACCAGUUCAUCUUACAGGUCGAUUGGGUGCAACGGAGUAGAGGAGUAGAGAUGGGUUCAUUGAUAAAUGUGAAGAACUACACAUACUAACAAUAAGCGAGUUACUGCCUCUGAAGAAGCUCCUAACAAAGCAAAUAACAAGGGCCGAGACAAUGUAGAAAGUGCAGAAAGCAGCGAGUGUGAUUUUACUUUGAAGAAAUCAACUGAUAGCAAUAACUUAUUAGAGUCUCCUCCCAAUUCCGAAGAUAGGCGACCCAAUGACAAAAGGG